GAGAGAGUGCUGGCUGAUGUUUUUUCUUCAUGCUCCACUUCAAAGACUUUGGAUUUCACCAAGAGUUUAUAUAACUCAGACUGCAUCUGUGUCAGGCGGCAACAAACCACCUGUUCAACUGGAAAUGGAUAAACAAAAGGAAUUUUUAACACUCCACCCGUCUGUCCGUCCGUCACAACUUAGUUUUACGGACUAUUUUUCAUCAAGCUGUGAUUUAGGAAGCUGAAAUUUGAAUGAUGUCUGACAGAAUUCAAUAUAAAGAUGAUGUAAUACCUGUUUACCAAAGUCGUAAAAAGAAAGGCUCUGGAAGCUUCAUUUUAGUAUAAAUGGACUGUAAAUUUUGUGGUAAUAGGCACUUGUUAAGCAUUCCAUAAGCACACUAUGGAAUUACAUCUGGAGAUUGGAUUGGACUUAAUGGCCGUUUGUGACAGUUUACAUUUGUCAAUUCAGCUCGGCAGUAAACCAGUAUAAGACACUUUCUAUGAACUUUGGUUAUACCUACUAAUCAAUGGCUAGACAGUUAAUUUUUCCACUCAACCAUUUCUGAACUUCAUUGGACCAAUUCUGAAAGACAAAAAACAAUUGUGAAAAUUCCGGACAUCUUUUUACCCAAUGACAGCACAAUACAUUAAGUAACUAGUGGUAAUUGUAAUGGGGACCAUUACAAAUUACAAACCACCAUCUCUCAGAUGGUGCUUUUUUGUUUGAGUACAUCCAAUUGAAUCAUUUAAUAGAAAUUUUUUACUUUACUUUGUAUGUAACAUUAUGUAGAUGAUAUAGUUUAUGUUGA